rnacentral:rRNA from 1 species
AUUGAACGCUGGCGGCAUGCUUUACACAUGCAAGUCGGACGGCAGCACAGAGAAGCUUGCUUCUUGGGUGGCGAGUGGCGAACGGGUGAGUAACAUAUCGGAACGUACCGAGCAGUGGGGGAUAACUAAUCGAAAGAUUAGCUAAUACCGCAUAUCUUCUGAGGAAGAAAGCAGGGGACCAUUUGGCCUUGCGCUGUUUGAGCGGCCGAUAUCUGAUUAGCUAGUUGGUGGGGUAAAGGCCUACCAAGGCGACGAUCAGUAGCGGGUCUGAGAGGAUGAUCCGCCACACUGGGACUGAGACACGGCCCAGACUCCUACGGGAGGCAGCAGUGGGGAAUUUUGGACAAUGGGCGCAAGCCUGAUCCAGCCAUGCCGCGUGUCUGAAGAAGGCCUUCGGGUUGUAAAGGACUUUUGUCAGGGAAGAAAAGGGCGGGGUUAAUACCCCUGUCUGAUGAA